CCUACGGGAGGCAGCAGUGGGGAAUAUUGGACAAUGGGGGGAACCCUGAUCCAGCCAUGCCGCGUGUGUGAAGAAGGCCCUCGGGUUGUAAAGCACUUUCAGUGAGGAAGAACGCCUGGUGGUUAAUACCCAUCAGGAAAGACAUCACUCACAGAAGAAGCACCGGCUAACUCCGUGCCAGCAGCCGCGGUAAUACGGAGGUUGCGAGCGUUAAUCGGAAUUACUGGGCGUAAAGCGCGCGUAGGUGGCUUGAUAAGCCGGUUGUGAAAGCCCCGGGCUCAACCUGGGAACGGCAUCCGGAACUGUCAAGCUAGAGUGCAGGAGAGGAAGGUAGAAUUCCCGGUGUAGCGGUGAAAUGCGUAGAGAUCGGGAGGAAUACCAGUGGCGAAGGCGGCCUUCUGGACUGACACUGACACUGAGGUGCGAAAGCGUGGGUAGCAAACAGGAUUAGAUACCCUUGUAGUC
rnacentral:rRNA from 1 species